CAGGUUAGUUAUUGAAGCUGAUGAAGGUAAAGUCCCAAUCAAUGAAGAGUUCCCCGAUGAGCAGCUUCAUGCCUUGAACUCAAGAACUCCGUGGUAUGCUGAUUUGGUGAAUUUUUUAGUAUCAGGGAAGUUUCCAGCCAGCUACACCAAAGCACAGAAGGACCGGAUGCGUAGUAUAGCAAAAUACUACAUAUGGGAUGACCCAUACCUCUGGAAAUACUGUGCUGAUCAACUAAUCAGAAGGUGCGUACCCGAUUCUAAAAUUCUGUCUACACUAACUUUCUGCCAUUCUUAUGCAUGUGGGGGACAUUUUGGACCAAAGAGAACCGCACGCAAGGUUUUAGAGAGUGGAUUCUACUGGCCAUCCCAUAUUUAAAGAUGCAUAUGAAAUCUGUAAGGCAUGUGAUAGUUGUCAAAGAACAGGUACACUAGGUCCUAGGAAUGAAAUGCCCCAAACUCCUAUCUUAAUAUGUGAAAUCUUCGACGUUUGGGGUAUGGAUUUUAUGGGUCCCUUCCCCUUUUCUUUCGGUUUUCAAUAUAUUUUGCUUGCUGUCGAUUAUGUCUCGAAAUGGGUGGAAGCUAUAGCCACCCGUACUGAUGACUCUAAAGUUGUUGCAGAAUUUUUGAAAUCAAAUAUUUUUGCUAGAUACGGAUUCCGAGAGCCAUCAUCAAUGACAAGGGGACACACUUUUGCAAUAAGACAAUAGGAGCUCUCUUGAAGAAGUAUAAUGUGUUUCAUCGAGUGUCCACUGCAUAUCACCCACAAACAAAUGGACAGGCAGAAGUCUCCAAUCGAGAAAUCAAGUCCAUUCUAGAGAAGACUGUGAAUCCAAACAGGAAAGAUUGGAGUCUCCGCCUCAACGAUGCUCUGUGGGCGUACAGAACAGAGUAUAAAACUCCGAUCGGGAUGUCUCCUUACAGGCUUGUGUUUGGUAAACCUUGCCAUCUGCCAGUAGAAUUGGAACACAAAGCCUUUUGGGCCGUGAAACAAUGCAAUAUGGAAAUGGAUGCAGCGAGGGAGCACAGGAAACUUCAAUUGCAAGAACUUGAGGAAAUCCGAAAUGAUGCUUUCGAGAAUGCGAGAAUUUACAAGGAGAAGACCAAGGCAUUCCAUGAUGAGCGCAUAACACGAAAGACAUUUACAGUGGGGCAGAAAGUUCUCUUGUACCAUUCUCGGCUCAAACUUUUUUCCCGGUAAACUCCGUUCUCGAUGGGUGGGGCCCUUUAUUAUUACCAAGGUGUAUGACCAUGGUGCGGUUGAGAUUAGUAGUGAGGAGACGGGGAAGGAAUUUAAGGUGAAUGGUCAUCGACUCAAGCCGUACUAUGAGGGUCAUCAGGUCCAGAACAUUGAAGUGAUGGAGCUAGAAGCUCCAAAUUAUGAAGACUAGUAUGCUGUAAAGGCGUCGAGCUAAUGACGAUAAAUAAAGCGCUCUUGGGAGGACAUGCUUCAUAGCACACAAGCAUUUGCCGGCUGAUUAAAAGCCGACAUCGAUGUGGAUAUGUUGCAGCAACCUGGGAACAUGCAACAAGAAUAUUGAGGCUGGAAUUGGGGAUGGAAUUCAAAAGCUUUGCUUUUAAUUUCUGGUCCGGCAAAGCUGCAGCAUCGAAACAGUAAUGAGGCAGCAGAUCUGCAGUCAAGCAGUGGAGGCAACGCUUUAAGCUUGGGGGAAGAGUGGCGAACCAGAUAACUACCAGCAUGUUCCACUUUUUCCGGUGAGCUCGUUUCCUUAUCUGUUUCUAUUUUAAUCCCCUUAUUUUUUAUUUAUUUAUUUUUUUUACAGUCACACAUUGAGGGCAAUGUGUGGAUUAAUCUUGGGGGGAAUGCAUUAUGUUCGGUCUCUUGCGGUCUCUUGGUAUGUCUCUGGUGUGGUAUGGUAUUAUAUUGAGUCUAAUAAUGAAAUUUGGACAGUGCAUUCGGUCUCUACAAUGCUUAACUUUACAGUACAUUUACUCUACAAUGCUUAACUUUGGCUAAUAGACUUGUAUAUAUGCAGAAAAAAAAAAUUUGAAAAAUUAAUUCUGUAAACAAUGGCUAGCCUGGUGGAAGUCAGCUUGUAAUGGGGUAAAAAGAAAGAAAUGAGUUAGGCAUCAAAGCUUUACACUAUAUAAGCCAAAAAGCUUACCCAUGACAUGAUCCAUUAUUAAACCCGAUUUGAGCUUUAUAGACCUACUUUUCUUGCGGAAUGUCUGAAACAUGAAAUACUUGCCUAUAAGAUUAGUAGAGCAUAUCGAAGGGUAAAUUGGAUUAUCAUUGUGGUAAUGAUGUAAAUUGGUGGUGAAGUAUAUAUAUAUAUUUUUUUUAAAAAGAAAAAAGGUUUCAUGUUAAAGGCUCUACGUACCAAUGUAUGGGUUAAAAAAAAAAAAAACCAUAUAAGUACGUGUGAUGUUUUAUGUAUCGUGAUUGAGUAACUCGAGUUAGUAAAUCCGUAGGGGUAUCUUAAAACCUAGUGCCUUGGGCCAAUUGGACCGGGAGUCACUGGUUGAAAGCUCGCUACAUGGGUUACUUGACAUGUACAUGACAUUAAGAGUCGUGAAACACAAGUCAAAAAAAAAAAAAAAAAAAAAA